UACGGAGGGUGCGAGCGUUGUCCGGAAUCACUGGGCGUAAAGGGCGCGUAGGCGGCUUCUCAAGCGUGUGGUGAAAGUCCGGGGCUCAACCCCGGAUCGGCCGUGCGGACUGGGGAGCUCGAGUUCUGUAGAGGCGGGUGGAAUUCCCGGUGUAGCGGUGGAAUGCGUAGAGAUCCGGAAGAACACCGGUGGCGAAGGCGGCCCGCUGGGCAGAGACUGACGCUGAGGCGCGACAGCGUGGGGAGCAAACAGG
rnacentral:rRNA from 1 species